AGGAAGUAGAAUUUUGGUGACCACGCGUAAGGAAAUUGUUGCAAGUGCGAUGGGUUGCAUUGACAUAUACGAAAUAGGACAAUUGUCCGUAGAAGAUUCUUGGUCAUUAUUUAGUCAAAUUGCAUUUUUUGGUUGGAGCGAUGGAGAGCGUAAGCAAUUAGAAGACAUUGGCAGGAAAAUUGCAAGUAAGUGUAAAGGUUUGCCUCUUGCAGUGAAGACUUUAGGAAGUCUUUUGCAGAGUAAAAAAUCGAAAAAAGAGUGGCAAUCCAUAAUGGAUAAUGAGGUGUGGAAACUAGAAAAGGCUGAAGUUGAUCUUUUUCCCCAUUUAUUGCUUAGUUACAAUGACUUGUCCCCACCAUUGAGGCAAUGU
rnacentral:misc_RNA from 1 species